rnacentral:rRNA from 1 species
GACGGAGGGUGCUAGCGUUGUUCGGAAUUACUGGGCGUAAAGGGCGCGCAGGCGGCCGCCCGCGUCGGAUGUGAAAGCCCGGGGCUCAACCCCGGAACGGCAUCCGAUACGGGGCGGCUGGAGACCGGGAGAGGAGGGUGGAAUAGCCAGUGUAGAGGUGAAAUUCGUAGAUAUUGGCUGGAACACCGGUGGCGAAAGCGGCUCUCUGGCCCGGUUCUGACGCUGAGGCGCGAAAGCGUGGGGAGCAAACAGG